rnacentral:rRNA from 1 species
GAGGAAAGAGGGAGGCGUGCCUAACACAUGCAAGUCGAACGGAAAGGCCCUGCUUUUGUGGGGUGCUCGAGUGGCGAACGGGUGAGUAACCCGUGAGUAACCUGCCCUUGACUUUGGGAUAACUUCAGGUAACUGGGGCUAAUACCGGAUAGGAGCUCCUGCUGCAUGGUGGGGGUUGGACAGUUUCGGCGGCUGGGGAUGGACUCGCGGCUUAUCAGCUUGUUGGUGGGGUAGUGGCUUACCAAGGCUUUGACGGGUAGCCGGCCUGAGAGGGUGACCGGCCACAAUAGGACUGAGGUACGGCCCAGACUCCUACGGGAGGCAGCAGUGGGGAAUAUGGCACAGUGGGCCGAAGCCUGAGGCAGCGACGCCGCGUGCGGGAUGACGGCCUUCGGGUUGAGAACCGCUUUCGCCUGUGACGAAGCGUGAGUGACGGUAAUGGGUAAAGAAGCACCGGCUAACUACGUG